CAAAGAUGUGUUUGUUCUUUUCUUCUCACUUGUUUUUAUUGUGUUUUUUUCUGUGAUGAUGGGAUAUUUGUAUGGAUAUUAAAAUCAUGUAGGAUCGUUUGUGAUGA
rnacentral:ribozyme from 1 species